AACGAACGCUGGCGGCAGGCCUAACACAUGCAAGUCGAACGCCCGUAGCAAUACGGGAGUGGCAGACGGGUGAGUAACGCGUGGGAACGUGCCCUUCGGUUCGGAAUAACUCAGGGAAACUUGAGCUAAUACCGGAUACGUCCGUAAGGAGAAAGAUUUAUCGCCGAAGGAUCGGCCCGCGUCGGAUUAGCUAGUUGGUGAGGUAACGGCCCACCAAGGCGACGAUCCGUAGCUGGUCUGAGAGGAUGAUCAGCCACACUGGGACUGAGACACGGCCCAGACUCCUACGGGAGGCAGCAGGUGGGGAAUAUUGGACAAUGGGCGAAAGCCUGAUCCAGCCAUGCCGCGUGAGUGAAGAAGG
rnacentral:rRNA from 1 species